GUGCUUACUUCAGCAGCACAUAUACUAAAAUUGAAAUGGUACAGAGACUACUAGCAUGGCCCCUGCACAAGGAUGACAUGCAAUUGGUAAGUGGGCAUUGCUAUUCUG
rnacentral:snRNA from 3 species